rnacentral:rRNA from 1 species
GAUGAACGCUAGCGACAGGCUUAACACAUGCAAGUCGAGGGGCAGCAUAGAAGUAGCAAUACUUUGGUGGCGACCGGCGCACGGGUGAGUAACGCGUAUGCAACCUACCUAUCAGAGGGGAAUAACCCGGCGAAAGUCGGACUAAUACCGCAUAAAACAGGGGCACCGCAUGGUGAUAUUUGUUAAAGAAAUUCGCUGAUAGAUGGGCAUGCGUUCCAUUAGGUAGUUGGUGAGGUAACGGCUCACCAAGCCGGCGAUGGAUAGGGGAACUGGGAGGUUGGUCCCCCACACUGGUACUGAGACACGGACCAGACUCCUACGGGAGGCAGCAGUGAGGAAUAUUGGUCAAUGGGCGGGAGCCUGAACCAGCCAAGUCGCGUGAAGGAAGAAGGAUCUAUGGUUCGUAAACUUCUUUUGCAGGGGAAUAAAGUGCAGGACGUGUCCUGUUUUGUAUGUACCCUGAGAAUAAGGAUCGGCUAACUCCGUGCCAGCCGCCGCGGUAAGAC